UACAGAGGGUGCAAGCGUUAAUCGGAAUUACUGGGCGUAAAGCGUGCGUAGACGGUUAUGUAAGACAGAUGUGAAAGCCCCGGGCUCAACCUGGGAAUUGCAUUUGAGACUGUGUAGCUAGGGUGCGGAAGAGGGAAGCGGAAUUUCCGGUGUAGCGGUGAAAUGCGUAGAUAUCGGAAGGAACACCAGUGGCGAAAGCGGCUUCCUGGUCCAGCACCGACGUUCAGGCACGAAAGCGUGGGGAGCAAACAGG
rnacentral:rRNA from 1 species